UGGGGAAUAUUGGACAAUGGGCGAAAGCCUGAUCCAGCCAUGCCGCGUGUGUGAAGAAGGUCUUCGGAUUGUAAAGCACUUUAAGUUGGGAGGAAGGGCAUUAACCUAAUACGUUAGUGUUUUGACGUUACCGACAGAAUAAGCACCGGCUAACUCUGUGCCAGCAGUCGCGGUAAUACAGAGGGUGCAAGCGUUAAUCGGAAUUACUGGGCGUAAAGCGCGCGUAGGUGGUUUGUUAAGUUGGAUGUGAAAGCCCCGGGCUCAACCUGGGAACUGCAUCCAAAACUGGCAAGCUAGAGUACGGUAGAGGGUGGUGGAAUUUCCUGUGUAGCGGUGAAAUGCGUAGAUAUAGGAAGGAACACCAGUGGCGAAGGCGACCACCUGGACUGAUACUGACACUGAGGUGCGAAAGCGUGGGGAGCAAACA
rnacentral:rRNA from 1 species